rnacentral:lncRNA from 1 species
AAGGUACUGUUGUGAAGUGCCUCCUUCAAGUGGACCAGGCUUUGCUGUGAACCCAGUGUGGCGUCAUGAGGCAGUUUCUGUUCGCUGUGGACAUUCUGGGCAGCAGGCUUUCCAGGAGGUGGUGGAGCGCGGGCCUUCAUCUUCCUUCUUGAAAACGAUAACACAGAAACACUGAGGCUGAGAGCCACUGCGUUCAACUGUCCCCGCGUUCCUGAACAAAGCUGACUUGAUGACAAACAUU